AAUUCUCUAUUUCAACAUGGGAGUAGUUACAUUUCACUAGUGGAUGGAUUAGAUCCAUAUCAAAGACUUUGUUGCAUUCAUAUGGUGGAUUAAUUUACAAUAAUAGAUACAGUUCAGUGUAGAUAAUCAUAACAGAUGAACUUUGUUUUCAUGGGAAGUUGUUUAAAUAACACAGAUGUGAUGAAUAUACAAAGGCUUAUUUUUACUUUUCAUAUAUUUUUGUAAUACAGCAGCACUUUUUUGCAGCUACAAGUUUGUUGUUUUGCUGGAAAAUUAUAGGGGCAAAGACAUGAAUCUCAAAAAUGUAGAAGUCAAAUAAGCCUUUAACUGUGCUUGUCUUUGUGCAGUUACAGUAUUGAAUGCUUAAAGGUUCAGCCUGAUACAAAUUGUCUCUUGCUAUCUGUACAAAGUGUAGUUUUUUAAUGGUCUUAAUUUUGAAAAAAAUAAGUAUAAAAUGAUUCUUUCAUCUAACUAGUCUUUAUUUUUUCUCAUAUACACCGUACGAAACAGACUAGCUUAACUAAUAUUGAAUCAAAAAGCUAAUUAAGAAGGCCUGGCCAGUUUUGGGACAUACUCUUGACCUGCUGUAAGUAGUAGUGGAGGAGAGAAUGAAGACAAAACUUAAAGCCAUUAUGAGCAAUGCUGCACAUUCAUUCUCUGACAUGCUGUCAUUAAGUAUUUUAGCCAAUUAUCUCUUCAGCAAAUGUGUGUCAAGAAACUACUGGGCUUACUUUAUACCUAUGGCAGUAUACCUUUGUAAUGCUUCAGUGAGACUAUGACAGCACUUUCUAUCUUUAGCCAAGUCAGAAGGUUUUUUUCUUUUUAGUAAUUCUGGUGUGUACUCAUUUGUUAUACUAUAUAUUUAUUGGGUUUCUUUAGUACUAGGGUUUUCCCACUUGGGACAAACAAAGUUCUGUGUACCUACCUACCAAUGUACUUUGGCCUUUGUGUCAAUAUUUUCUUAUAGGAUGUGUCUGUAGUAUAUGUACUUGGGAAACUUAAGUGUUAUGGAAGCUUGAUUAUUAUUGCCUGUUUAUGCUUUUUGUGCAUAUUAUAUCAGUAUUCUUUCAUUUUGUGCAUCUGUGAAGGUUCUUUCCAUUGUUCUAUGUAUUUUUCUGUCUCCAGAAUUUCAACAGAAUGUUUAAUUUGCUUGUUUUCCAAACAAAAU